rnacentral:rRNA from 1 species
GACGAACGCUGGCGGCGUGCCUAAUACAUGCAAGUCGAGCGGACCUCUUCAACUCUUCGGAGUUGAAGAGGUUAGCGGCGGACGGGUGAGUAACACGUGGGUAACCUGCCCUUAAGACUGGGAUAACAUUCGGAAACGGAUGCUAAUACCGGAUACGCAAUAGCGUCGCAUGAAGCUAUUGGGAAAGGCGGAGCAAUCUGCCACUUAAGGAUGGACCCGCGGUGCAUUAGCUAGUUGGUGAGGUAAAGGCUCACCAAGGCGACGAUGCAUAGCCGACCUGAGAGGGUGAUCGGCCACACUGGGACUGAGACACGGCCCAG